GGGCACGUGGCGGAAUUGGUAUACGCGUACGUCUCAGAAGCGUAUGGAGCAAUCCUUGGGAGUUCGAGUCUCCCCGUGCCCACCA
rnacentral:tRNA from 1 species